rnacentral:rRNA from 1 species
AGAGUUUGAUCCUGGCUCAGGACGAACGCUGGCGGCGUGCUUAACACAUGCAAGUCGAACGAGAAUCACUGGAAGGAGUUUUCGGACAACGGAAGGUGAGGACAGUGGCGGACGGGUGAGUAACGCGUGAGGAACCUGCCUUUCAGAGGGGGACAACAGUUGGAAACGGCUGCUAAUACCGCAUGACACAUAGAGAUCGCAUGGUUUUUAUGUCAAAGAUUUAUCGCUGAAAGAUGGCCUCGCGUCUGAUUAGCUAGUUGGUGAGGUAACGGCCCUCCAAGACGACGAUCAGUAGCCGGACUGAGAGGUUGACCGGCCACAUUGGGACUGAGAUACGGCCCAGACUCCUACGGGAGGCAGCAGUGGGGGAUAUUGCACAAUGGGGGAAACCCUGAUGCAGCAACGCCGCGUGAAGGAAGAAGGUCUUCGGAUUGUAAACUUCUGUCCUCAGGGAAGAUAAUGACGGUACCUGAGGAGGAAGCUCCGGCUAACUACGUGCCAGCAGCCGCGGUAAUACGUAGGGAGCGAGCGUUGUCCGGAUUUACUGGGUGUAAAGGGUGCGUAGGCGGCUUUGCAAGUCAGAUGUGAAAUCUAUGGGCUCAACCCAUAGCCUGCAUUUGAAACUGCAGAGCUUGAGUGAAGUAGAGGCAGGCGGAAUUCCCCGUGUAGCGGUGAAAUGCGUAGAGAUGGGGAGGAACACCAGUGGCGAAGGCGGCCUGCUGGGCUUUAACUGACGCUGAGGCACGAAAGCGUGGGUAGCAAACAGGAUUAGAUACCCUGGUAGUCCACGCUGUAAACGAUGAUUACUAGGUGUGGGGGGUCUGACCCCUUCCGUGCCGGAGUUAACACAAUAAGUAGUCCACCUGGGGAGUACGGCCGCAAGGUUGAAACUCAAAGGAAUUGACGGGGGCCCGCACAAGCAGUGGAGUAUGUGGUUUAAUUCGAAGCAACGCGAAGAACCUUACCUGAUCUUGACAUCCCGAUGACCGCUUCGUAAUGGAAGUUUUUCUUCGGAACAUCGGUGACAGGUGGUGCAUGGUUGUCGUCAGCUCGUGUCGUGAGAUGUUGGGUUAAGUCCCGCAACGAGCGCAACCCUUACCUUCAGUAGCCAGCAGUCAGAUGGGCACUCUGGAGGGACUGCCAGGGAUAACCUGGAGGAAGGUGGGGAUGACGUCAAAUCAUCAUGCCCCUUAUGACUUGGGCUACACACGUGCUACAAUGGCGUAAACAAAGGGAAGCAGCCCUGUGAAGGUGAGCAAACCCCAAAAAUAACGUCCCAGUUCGGAUUGUAGUCUGCAACUCGACUACAUGAAGCUGGAAUCGCUAGUAAUCGCGAAUCAGCAUGUCGCGGUGAAUACGUUCCCGGGUCUUGCACACACCGCCCGUCA